UCAGAUUAGAAAAUUUCAAAAUUACCAACCAAUUAGUAAGUCAAAGAGGAUUUUAUUACCGUUUAGUGAGUCUUUAUUCUUAUUGUCUCUUCCACCAGAAAAGUAAAAGUUAUCCUGAGUGGGGUUUCUUCUGUAGAUCAAGUCAAGAUAUCAGGACUAUUAACUUGCUUAUUUGGAGCCAUAGAAUUUGUGUUCAGAAGGUUCCUCUUCACAUUGUUGUCAGAGCUUCCUGUUUUCAGCACGUUACACACCACUCAUCACUCACUCCCUGUGUCAGAACUUUAUCAGCAUCCCGAGCUGUGGCUGCCUCUA
rnacentral:lncRNA from 1 species